rnacentral:rRNA from 1 species
CAUCAAAGCGCCGACCUCAGAGCAAGUG